rnacentral:rRNA from 1 species
GACGAACGCUGGCGGCGUGCCUAAUACGUGCAAGUUGAGCGCUGAAGGUUGGUACUUGUACCAACUGGAUGAGCAGCGAACGGGUGAGUAACGCGUGGGGAAUCUGCCUUUGAGCGGGGGACAACAUUUGGAAACGAAUGCUAAUACCGCAUAAAAACUUUAAACACAAGUUUUAAGUUUGAAAGAUGCAAUUGCAUCACUCAAAGAUGAUCCCGCGUUGUAUUAGCUAGUUGGUGAGGUAAAGGCUCACCAAGGCGAUGAUACAUAGCCGACCUGAGAGGGUGAUCGGCCACAUUGGGACUGAGACACGGCCCAAACUCCUACGGGAGGCAGCAGUAGGGAAUCUUCGGCAAUGGACGAAAGUCUGACCGAGCAACGCCGCGUGAGUGAAGAAGGGUGUCGGAUCGUAAAACUCUGUUGGUAGAGAAGAACGUUGGUGAGAGUGGAAAGCUCAUCAAGUGACGGUAACUACCCAGAAAGGGACGGCUAACUACGUG